rnacentral:pre_miRNA from 1 species
GCGGUUCAUGUGAUCUGAGAUUAUGAAAUGCUGAGAGAGGGUUCAUUUCUCCUCUCAUUCUGAGAUCACACUUAUUGCUG